UCAGAAAGAUACAUGAAGAUGAAUUGAAUGAUAUGAAGGAUUAUCUUUCCCAGUGUCAACAGGAACAAGAAUCUUUUAUAGAUUAUAAGUCGACCUGAUAAAAAGCAACGUAUGGUAAAUAUUGAAAACUCCAGGCAUCGAAAACAAGAGCAGAAGCACCUUCAGCCACAGCCUUAUAAAAGGGAAGGUAAAUGGCAUAAAUAUGGUCGCACUAAUGGAAGACAAAUGGCAAAUCUUGAAAUAGAAUUGGGGCAAUUACCUUUUGAUCCUCAAUACUGAUUCACAAUUGAGUUAAAUUAGACAACUGUAAGAGAAAAAUUUAUGCUUUGUAUAAUGUUUGGUAUUGAAACUAAUGAAAUUACCAAGAUGACAAUGUCUUUUCUUUUGUUUCUAAGUAUCAGUUUGAUAACUUUAUAUUAUUCCUCAGAAGCAUUAGUUAAAAGUCUACUAACCUGCAUUUUCCUGUAGUUUAGCUUCGUUGAAUUUUUUUUGACACUGGAAAUGUUCAACUGUAGUUUUAUUAAGGAAGCCAGGCAUGCAACAGAUUUUGUGCAUGAAAUGAGACUUCCUUUCAGUGUAAGAGCUUAAAGCAAGCUCAGUCAUACAUGACAAAGUGUAAUUAACACUGAUGUUUGUGUUAAAUUUGCAGCAGAGCUUGAGAAAAGUACAUUGUUCUGGAAUUUCAUCAUUAACAUUUUAUAAUCUUACACUCACUUCUUGU
rnacentral:lncRNA from 1 species